GGGAUCCCUCGCGGGUGCAC
rnacentral:siRNA from 1 species